UACGUAGGGUGCGAGCGUUAAUCGGAAUUACUGGGCGUAAAGCGUGCGCAGGCGGUUCGCCAAGUCAGACGUGAAAUCCCUCGGCUUAACCGGGGAACUGCAUCUGAUACUGGAUGGCUUGAGUUCGGGAGAGGGAUGCGGAAUUCCAGGUGUAGCGGUGAAAUGCGUAGAUAUCUGGAGGAACACCGGUGGCGAAGGCGGCAUCCUGGACCGACACUGACGCUGAGGAGCGAAAGCCAGGGGAGCAAACGGG
rnacentral:rRNA from 1 species